AGCUUUGCACAGUGGCAGUAUCAUAACCAAUGAGGUUUAUCCGAGGUGCGAUUAUUGCUUAUUGAAAAACAUGCUUCAAACCC
ensembl:snRNA U4 U4 spliceosomal RNA